rfam:Stegodyphus mimosarum contig10610, whole genome shotgun sequence.
GCCUUCUUGGUGCAGUGGUCAGCACACUUGAUGAGUAAUCGAGAGGUCCGUGGUUCGAGUCCCGGCGAGGGCA